CCUACGGGAGGCAGCAGUGAGGAAUAUUGGUCAAUGGACGCAAGUCUGAACCAGCCAUGCCGCGUGCAGGAUGACGGCUCUAUGAGUUGUAAACUGCUUUUGUACGAGGAUAAACUCAGAUACGCGUAUCUGUUUGUAUGUAUUGUAUGAAUAAGGAUCGGCUAACUCCGUGCCAGCAGCCGCGGUAAUACGGAGGAUUCAAGCGUUAUCCGGAUUUAUUGGGUUUAAAGGGUGCGUAGGCGGUCUGAUAAGUCAGUGGUGAAAUCCCGAGGCUCAACUUCGGAAUUGCAACUGAUACUGGUAGGCUAGAGAGUAGUUGCGGUAGGCGGAAUGUAUGGUGUAGCGGUGAAAUGCUUAGAGAUCAUGCAGAACACCGAUUGCGAAGGCAGCUUACCAAGCUGCUUCUGACAUUGAGGCACGAAAGCGUGGGGAGCAAACAGGAUUAGAUACCCUAGUAGUC
rnacentral:rRNA from 1 species